rnacentral:rRNA from 1 species
AGUGAACGCUGGCGGUAGGCCUAACACAUGCAAGUCGAACGGCAGCACAGUAAGAGCUUGCUCUUACGGGUGGCGAGUGGCGGACGGGUGAGGAAUACAUCGGAAUCUACUUUUUCGUGGGGGAUAACGUAGGGAAACUUACGCUAAUACCGCAUACGACCUACGGGUGAAAGCAGGGGAUCUUCGGACCUUGCGCGAUUGAAUGAGCCGAUGUCGGAUUAGCUAGUUGGCGGGGUAAAGGCCCACCAAGGCGACGAUCCGUAGCUGGUCUGAGAGGAUGAUCAGCCACACUGGAACUGAGACACGGUCCAAACUCCUACGGGAGGCAGCAGUGGGGAAUAUUGGACAAAGGGCGCAAGCCUGAUCCAGCCAUACCGCGUGGGUGAAGAAGGCCUUCGGGUUGUAAAGCCCUUUUGUUGGGAAAGAAAAGCAGCAGGUUAAUACCCCGCUGUUCUGACGGUACCCAAAGAAUAAGCACCGGCUAACUUCGUG